AAGUUUAAAAAUAGAAAGACAUCAUUUACCGUUAUAAUUGUAUCCCUUUAACCGUUUCCUCAAAUUAAGCCCAUAAUAAUUGCAUACGUCGUUUGGCAUUCUGAAUUCAAAAUUAAUGUCUCCUCAGCCGCCUCUGUAAAGCUAUACGCAGAAGUCCCAUCACAUCAUCCUCUUUGCGAGCAAAAACUCCCAUCUCCAGAAAUAGGGCAAAAGUUCACAAUGUUUUGCCAAGUUCUUUCUAUCGGAAGUGUGUCAGUUUUUAUGGAAUAUUUUUUAUAUUCGCACUGAAGCCCAGUUAUAUAUGGACUCAUACAUAAUAAGGCUCCAUUGGUACGGAAGUACUCUACCAAAGAUUUGAACCAAGACCUCUGUUUACAAGGAAAGCAAUCCCGUCCACAACAUCGCAUCUUGCUUAUAAGUUUUUGCAGUGAGUAUAUGUAAAUAUAUGUGUAUAGUCAUUUUUCCUUUUACAAAAUACAUAGUAAUAUUUUAGUACAAGGAUUGUAGUUUAUUACUAAAUUGAUAUUGUAAUGUCAAAUUUGGAACUAAUGAAGCCAAAGUUUAUAUCAACUCCGUCUAACAGAGUAUCUUUGAGAAGAAAAAGUUAAAUCACGUGAAGCACAAGAUUGUUGAUGCUGAGCACUAGGAAGAGAUAACUUCUUGAUUUGAUUGAUGAUAUAGAUUUUAUACAAAGAGAACUAAGGUUGAGCAUGCUCAGUUGCCCAUGGAUGAAAUAAGGAUGCUUCUGGAAGUGGUCAAAUAUCAGCAAUAGUAUCGCAAUGUAACAGGAAAGGAGAAAAAGAACGACGACAAGUUUCAAAAGACUACCAUUAACCCUUUGAAUCUUCACAAGAACAUAGUUGGGAUGGUGAAAAUCAUAAUUCAUAAUCCUCGGGGAAGAAAUUUGCUUCACCUGAGAAAGAGCAAACAAACGGAUUGAACUCUUUUUUAGGUGAACUCAAUUUUGUUUGUCCUAAAUUAGAUGUUUGCUAUUUUAUUUUUGACAGAGAAAUAAUUUAUCUUAUUGUUACUAGCUUCAAAUGUAAUCUUUGAGAGUAGUUCCUCUUCAUGUUCUGGAGUGGGCGUAUUUGUGUAUUAAUCUAUAUCUAUAACAAAAAAGGUGAUGUAGUA